rnacentral:misc_RNA from 1 species
AACAUGACCACAGUCGUCUUAACAUCGUCAUGUAAAUACGUGUCAUCAAAGAUUACUCAAAAAUUGCUCAUUAUAUCUCAAUCAUAUUUAAAACGGACGACAUGACAAGUAUUAGCUUUUGAUUUAUACAAAAAAGAUCAAAAUCAGUGCACCCAGUAAAAAGAUAUAACGUAUAAUACAACGUAGGGUGACGAAAAUAAUGUCAAGUAAAUACGCGUUAUCAAAGAUUAAUCAAAAAGUAGUUAUCAGAUCUCGAUAAAAUUUAUAUGUGACCACAUGAUAAACAUCAGCUUUCGAUUAAAGUAAAAAUUAUCAAAAUCGAUACACCCAGUAAAAAGUUAUUGCGGAU